rnacentral:snRNA from 1 species
UUGCUUCAGCAACAAAUAUACUAAAAUUGGAAUAUACAGAGAAGAUUAGCAUGGCCCCUGUGCAAGAAUGACAUGCAAAUUCAUGAAGCAUUCAAUAUUUAU